GAUGAACGCUGACGGCGUGCCUAAUACAUGCAAGUCGAGCGAACAGACGAGGAGCUUGCUCCUCUGACGUUAGCGGCGGACGGGUGAGUAACACGUGGAUAACCUACCUAUCAGACUGGGAUAACUUCGGGAAACCGGAGCUAAUACCGGAUAAUAUAUUGAACCGCAUGGUUCAAUAGUGAAAGACGGUUUUGCUGUCACUUAUAGAUGGAUCCGCGCCGCAUUAGCUAGUUGGUAAGGUAACGGCUUACCAAGGCAACGAUGCGUAGCCGACCUGAGGGGGUGAUCGGCCGCACGGGAACUGAGACACGGUCCAGAGGCCUACGGGAGGGAGCAGUAGGGAAUCUUCCGCAAUGGGCGAAAGCUUGACGGAGCAACGCCGCGUGAGUGAUGAAGGUCUUCGGAUCGUAAAACUGUGUUAUUAGGGAAGAACAAAUGUGGAAGUAACUAUGCACUUCGUGACGGUACCGAAUCAGAAAGCCACGGCUAACUACGUG
rnacentral:rRNA from 1 species